ACAGUUGUCGGUAGGUCUACUCUAGAACUUUCUACAGGUGUCGGUAGGUCUACUCUAGAACUUUCUACAGGUGUCGGUAGGUCUACUCUAGAACUUUCUACAGGUGUCGGUAGGUCUACUCUAGUUGUCGGUAGGUCUACUCUAGAACUUUCUCCAAUUGUCGGUAGGUCUGCUCUAGAACUUUCUCCAGUUGUCGGUAGGUCUGCUCUAGAACUUUCUCCAGUUGUCAGUAGGUCUACUCUAGAACUUUCUCCAGUUGUCAGUAGGUCUGCUCUGUAACUUUCUCCAGUUGUCGGUAGCUCUACUCUGGAACUUUCUCCAGUUGUCAGUAGGUCUGCUCUGUAACUUUCUCCAGUUGUCGGUAGCUCUACUCUGGAACUUUCUCCAGCUGUCGGUAGGUCUACUCUGGAACUUUCUCCAGGUGUCGGUAGGUCUACUCUGGAACUCUCUCCAGUUGUUGGUAGGUCUGCGGCCCGCCUCGUCGGUCAUAUUGGAGGGGAAACACUGACUGGUGUGAACAGUUUAGAGUCCUAGAACCAAUCAUUGGUUCUCUGGAUGUGUUUCUGUUUCUGAUAAUCCACCAGAUAAACUCUA